rnacentral:snRNA from 1 species
GGAUGUGAGGACGAUCUGGUGCGCCAUCUGUCACCCCGUUGAUGGCCAGGGUUGAUUCGUUGAUCUGGCUGGCUAGGUGGGUGUCUUCUUCCUCCCUCACUGCUCCAUGUGCGUCCCUCCCGAAGCUGCAUGCUCAGUCAAAGAGGGCGGUCUUCCCCAAAUAGAGACAGAGGGGUCUUUGGUCGAGGGUAUAUGAGUAGUUGUACUCCCCUGCUAGAACCUCCAAAAAAGCUCUUAAGAAUAAAGCACUACCUUUUUAGGGGCAGGUAAAGAAUUAGUGAUAUAUAUACAUGUAUGUGUAUACACAUACAUACAUAUAUAUGUGUAUAUGUGUGUGUGUGU